GAGAGACAGAGAGAGCAAAAAAAAAGAGCAUGAGGAAUUUGAAGACUGAGAGAUGAGUUGUGUAGCACCAACAUUUUCUUUCUGCCUGACCUUCAUACCUGAUGAAUUAAAAGCAUAGGAUGUUUGGAAGAGUGAGAUAGGGGACACAUUGAAAACAGAGAGGCAAUCUGAAGGCUACCUUGACGCAUCUGCAAAGCUCCCAGAUUCUGACUUUCACAAGACUUGCUUUCUGUUUCUGGGCCUCGCCUAAACAGACUGCCAGUCAUCCGAACCGUGGCAGGAUGGAGAUGUUUGUGUAAGGUAGACUCAAGUUUGCAAGACUCAAGAAGGAAACCACCAAACUAAUUUUACUUUCACUUAAACCAGAUUGAAACCAAGACUUGAAGAAUUAAAAACUUUGACAUUAACCAUUGAUUCACUCCAAUGAAAUAAUUGUGUUAUAGCCAGAAUCAUGGUGAAAUUGGAACAAGGCUUUUGAUGGGAUUUUUAAUUGAGGGACUUAUAUUAAAUUGGAUAUUUUCUUUAAUGAACA
rnacentral:lncRNA from 1 species